UACGGAGGGUGCAAACGUUGCUCGGAAUCAUUGGGCGUAAAGCGCACGUAGGCGGCUUGUUAAGUCGGAUGUGAAAGCCCUCGGCUCAACCGAGGAAGUGCAUACGAAACUGGCGAGCUUGAAUAUGGAAGAGGGUCGCGGAAUUCCCGGUGUAGAGGUGAAAUUCGUAGAUAUUCGCAAGAACACCAGUGGCGAAGGCGGCUCACUGGCCCGGUACUGACGCUGAGGUGCGAAAGCGUGGGGAGCAAACAGG
rnacentral:rRNA from 1 species